rfam:Penicillium solitum strain IBT 29525 PENSOL_contig114 mitochondrial, whole genome shotgun sequence.
GACAAGUAUAUAAAGAAACUAUUAUGGAUGGUUAGCUAUAUAUUUCAAGAUAUUUAUAUCUAGGGAACAAUAUAAACUAGAAAUCAUAGAGAAAUCUAAUUAUAAGACAAAGUGAAUUGAAAUAUCUUAGUAACUUUAGUAAAAGAAAUCAAACGAGAUUGUUAUUUGGUGUCUUCUGAAUAGCAAAAGCCUUAAUAAAUAAUUACUAUAUUUACCAAAUAUAGGUUAUAAUUGUUUAUAGUAAAUAUACUAUUUAGUAUAUUUAAGUAUAACGGAAAAAAAUCUGUUGAAAAAUAGGGGAACCUUCCUCUAAGGCUAAAAAAAAUAUAUAAGCGAUAGAGUAACAGUACCGUGAGGGAAAUACCCUGAAAUAGUAGUUUUAUAAGCAGCUCAAGUUAAAAUUUAAAUAAAUAAUAAGAGCGUACCUUUUGCAUAAUGGGUCAGCAAGUUAAUUUUAGAUGCAAGUAACAUCUCUUUUAUAAGCAUUUACAUAUAGAACAUUAGACAUUAUGUCUAAUGAUAUUAUUUUAAUAUUGGUAUGUAAAUUUAUUAAUAAAAUUAGGAGGUAGAUACGCAGAUAAACCAAUUAUGAAAAAAUGAAUUAGUAUCUAGAAUUAGACCCGAAGGCUAGUGAUCUUACCAUGGUCAGGGUUAUAAAAGCCCGAACGGGUUAUCGUUGUAAAGAUAUCCGAUGAACUGUGGUAAGUUAGUGAAAGACAAAACUGACUAGUAUAGCUGGUUUUCCGCGAAACCUAUGUAAGUAGGUAAUUUAAUUAACAUCUUAGCAGGUACAGAACUGUGAUCUCGGACAAUAUCUAAGAUAUUUGUCAACAUCGGGGGGUUGUAGUGACUUUACCGGAGAGUAUUUGCACUCGGAAGGGCAAAGAUGAAUGUUAAAUAAUCGGACAUAGUGCGAUAAGGUUGUAUGUCUAAAGGGAAACAGCCCAGAACAAGAGUUAAGGUUCCAAAAUUAUUGUUAAGUGAAAUUAAGGAUGUUUUUUUUUAAAACAAUCAGGAAAUAGGCUUAGAAGCGGCCAUUUUUUGAAGACCUCGUAACAGAGCACUGAUUAAUAAAUUAGGAAAAAACGCCGAAAAUUUAACGGAUCUAAAUAAUAUACCGAAACCUUGUACACAAAUUAAAAUUAAAGCGCUGUGGCUUAGAUUAGAUGUUAAAUCUAAAUUUAAGCGCUGUGACUUAGGAUUUUUGUGGGGUAGCGGAACAUUGGAUUAAACAAAAUAUUAAUAUUUUUCUUAAAAUAUUAAAGAUCUUGCAUAAAGCUAUCUAAACUAAAUAUAUGAUUUAUUAUAUAUUGUGAUUGAUUAUUUAUUUAACUAUACUACAAUAUAAUAUAACUAAUUGAUUAUAUAUUUAACGAUAUAUUUUUAAAUUAGUUAUUUAGUGUGGGUUAUAUAGUUAAAUAAAAAAAGUUAGUAGUAGUAAAUAUAGUAGUUUAAAUAUUAUAUUACGAUUUAUGAGUAUCUGUUAAAUCCAAGAGAGAAUGCUGACAUGAGUAACGAAAAAGGCUUUUAGCCUCGCCUGAAGCUUAUGGUUUCAUCUAAAAUCGGUGUCUAAAAAAAUUAAUCAAAUGAUAAUUUUGAUGACGUUUUAUGCUUUUUUUAUAUGAUAAUACCAAAACCUUUAACAAGUAAUAAAGGUUCUGGAAAAGUUUAUUUUAUUAUUUGAAGUGGAAAAUAUUUAAUACUCAUACUUAUUGGUAUAAAAUUGUAAAUUAUAAUAUAUAAUACAUACUUAUUAUAAUAUUGUGAUUUACAAAUAUAAUAGAGUGAGUAAAAUAAUAAAUAUUUUUUAACCAAGUAAUAGUCUUUAUCUAUUAUAAUGAUAUUAAAGAUAAUAAUUAAUAAUUAAUUACCAUUAGAUUAUUAAUAUGUAUUUAUAGAUUAUAUAAUGAUUAUUAUAUAAAAUAUAUUUAUUAAAUAUUAUUAUUAAUAAUACUAUAAUAUAUAGAUUAAAGACAACUUUACACUGGUAAAAAAAAUAAAAGAAAAAAAACAAUAAAUAACCGUACCUAGAAACUAACUCAAGUAAGCAAGUAGAGAAUACAAAGGCGUUUGAGAGAACAAUCAUUAAGGAACUCGGCAAAUUGACUCUGUACCUUUGGAAUAAGGAGGACCAUUAUUAUUAAAUUUAACAUAUAGUAAAGUAUGAAAUUAAAUAUGAAAAAUUAAAUUAAUAAUAAGAGGAAUCAUGAAAUAAUGUUGUACGACUGUUUAAUAAAAACACAGCACUCUGCAAAGAUAAAAAAUCAAAGUAUUGAGUGUGAUGUCUGCCCAAUGUCGGCUGGGUAACGGAUCUACCUUGAUUAUUAACUGAGGUUUUGAAGGACACCCCGAUUAAUGGCGGCCUUACCUAUGAGGGUCCUAAGGUAGCGAAAUACCUUGGCCGUUAAAUGCGGUCCUGCAUGAAUGACUUAACGAUGCAACAGCUGUCUCGAUGAUUGUCUCAGUGAAAUUGGAAUAGCAGUGCAGAUACUGUUUACCUCUAGAUAGACGAGAAGACCCUAUGCAGCUUUACUGUUACUAAUUAUAGGAGUGAAAUUUUAGGAUGAUUUAUAGUGUAUAAGGUAGUUGUUUAGAUAAUAAUGAAACACCUUUAUUCGAAUCCUUAUAUAUACUCUUAAUGAUUAGAAGGCAGUUUAUGCGGGGCACAGAUCCCACAAAAAGUACCUGGGUAUAUCCAAAGUUCAUAUUGUAAACUUGUAUAUUUAUAUACAAAUAUUUUAAUUUGUUCUAAUUAUUAUUAUAAUUAUACAGUUAUUAUUCGAUUAAAUUCCACAAUUAUUUUUUAUUUUAAGUAAGAUUUUAACUAUGCGGUGAAUAGAUGUAUUUUAAACUUUACUGGACUUUGUUCUAAUUUUAGUUCAAAGAUUUAAAAGUUUAUUUGUUAUAUUAAUAAAGUAUUUAUCUUUAUUAAUAUAAUGUUUAUUAAUACUUUAAAAGUUUAAUGGCUAAAUCUUGCUUUACUGUUUGACCUACAAGUCUAUCAGUCGCGUAAGCGGGGCAUAUGAUCACAAGAUGCAUUAAGGAAAGGUCUUGGAUUAUAGAAAAAGUUACGCUAGGGAUUUAUAACUGUGAGUCCUCCAAUAUUAUAAAAUAUUGGUAAU